GCAAACUUGGUCAUUUAGAGGAAGUAAAAGUCGUAACAAGGUUUCCGUAGGUGAACCUGCGGAAGGAUCAUUACCGAGUAGGGUGCAGCGUCUUAAAUGCGCGGCCCGACCUCCCAACCCUUUGUUUAACUGACCACUGUUGCUUCGGCGAGCCGUUCCCCUCUCGGGGGCGCCGGGGGGGGUUAAACCCCUUGGAGAGCUUGCUCGUCGAUAGCCCAUUUAUCAACUUCAUAAGAAUACCACGUCUGAACAAAACCUAUCUUAAAUGAUAAAACAAAACUUUCAACAACGGAUCUCUUGGUUCUGGCAUCGAUGAAGAACGCAGC
rnacentral:misc_RNA from 1 species